ensembl:lncRNA
GAGCCCCUCCUCACAACCUCAACAAACAUUGGCAUCUAUCAAACACAGACUUGCCAAUAAGGGAAUGCUCUCCACAACAUGCGUGGUCUCCAGUUCACUCAGUACAAUUAGCAUCUUCAAAUGAAUACCAUCAUGCAUAACUUGUUCUGCAAAGUGGGUAAACCUCCAUAUGUUGCACUUUGCACAUGAACACCCAGUACCUGAUGUUACCUGUCACAGGCCCUCUGUGCAGAGGUGCUGUAAACAUUUUCUAGCAAUGAAUAACCCUGGGGAGGUAGGAGGCCUACUUCUUUUGAUAGAACUGGUGUCAUACACCGCUGUACUGCCAUUUCUAUUUCAUAAUCAGGACUUUCCCUGAAGUUUCCAACACACAAAAAUGGCAUAAGGAGAGGGAUUGGAUGAUCCUCAGGAUUCUUCAGAGGUCUAAAUAUAGGGCUUCUGGAAACAACUCUCUUAAUUCAAAAUGGUGGAUGAACUUCAGCUAAGGAUGAACUUCAUGCUGAAGGAGGCUGACCUGCUGAUUCUCAGUUUAGAAUUUUUAAUACCUUCUAGAAGUCCUUUAUUUUUUAACCUUCUACCAGAAUGUUUAGAAACUCCAGAUGUUGAACAGUCAUUUGUCCAGUCUCCUUGGUAUAACGCAGCCUGGCAGAACCAAUUUUCUGGCAAGAGAACCUGACAUUAGAUUAGACUGGCUACUCAGAAGACUGGUAAAUCAAGAGGAAAUCAAAUCACAGAGAUGCAGCUGAUAAAGAGGCAGUGUGUGGUGUGAAGAACAGAGACCGGAACAGAGAGAGCACUCAGACUAAAAACAAAACCUGUAAAGCACGUAAAACCUGUGACUACUGCUGAAGCAGAUAUACUACGCUGGUACUGAAAGGAGACAGAAAGUGCUUUGAAACCUAUGAAUCUGCUGAGCUAUAAGGACUUCUUCCUUUGAGUCCUGUGUUAUUCUGGUUCUAGGUUGACUAGAAAUGGUGUGGAAAUAAUUUCCUAAAUUAUGUGAGUUAUUCCAUCCUUCCUUCCUGGAAAGAAAGGCAUACAAGAACAUAUGGAGGGUGUUUCCGUGGUAACAUCAGAGAGUCCCAGGCUGAGACUGCGAGCUGCUGUACUCAUCAGCAUUUGUAGACAUUACAGAAGAGCAACAGUUCCAGACAGCUGUCACCUUCAUAAAACAACACUUGCUGCUCAUGGACUCGGAUCUCUUUACUUCUUCCAGAAACAGAAUUGUACCAGUUUGAUCUCCUACAGCUAUUUCCUGGCUUAUAGAGUUACUGUCCCAGAUCUGUGAUGCAUUUUUUUUUUUAAGCUAAGAAUUUCCAUUAAAUCUUUAAAAACAAUGUAUACACUACCUGCAUGAAAGCAAAACCAUUUUCUUCUAUGCUGUCACCUUGUGUUUUCAACUCUCUAUUGUAGUAGUUCUUUUUUAUUGGAUUGCAAUGUAAUUCCUUCUCAGUGUUACUGUGAAAUGUGGAAGUAUAAUUGCACUGCUGACAUUUCUUUUUUUGUUAUUUAUUAAAUAGUAAUGUGAAAUGUCAGUAAUAUGAUGCAACAUGUCUAUUUCAGUUAAGGACACUUAAAUACAUUCCAACAAAAAUAAAGAGAAUAAAUGCAACC